rnacentral:rRNA from 1 species
GUGUCAGCAGCCGCGGUAACACCAGCCCCUCGAGUGGUGGGGACUAUUAUUUGGCCUAAAGCGUCCGUAGCUGGCUGUAUCCGUCCCCCGUUAAAUCCAGCGUCCUAAGCGUUGGACCGCGGGUGAUACCAUACAGCUAGAGGGUGGGACAGGUGGGCGGUAUUUCUGGGGUAGGGGCGAAAUCCUUUGAUCCCAGGAGGACCACCAGUGGCGAAGGCUGCUCACUAGAACACGCCUGACGGUCAGGGACGAAAGCUGGGGCAGCGAACCGGAUUAGAUACCCGGGUAGUCCCAGCUGUAAACGAUGCUAGCUAGGUGUUGGGUCGGCCACGUGCCGCCCCAGUGCCGCAGGGAAGCCGUUAAGCUAGCCGCCUGGGGAGUACGGCCGCAAGGCUGAAACUCAAAUGAAUUGACGGGG